rnacentral:rRNA from 1 species
GAUGAACGCUGGCGGCGUGCCUAAUACAUGCAAGUCGAGCGAAGCGGGGACGGGUGAGUAACGCGUGGAUAUCCUCCUAUAAGACGGGGAUAACUUCGGGAAACCGGAGCUAAACCGGAUACUACUAAAUGGCUCCUCGUUGCAUAAGCUGGUUGGGAAGGUAACGGCUUACCAAGGCAACGCUGCAUGGCCGACCUGAGAGGUUGAUCGGCCACACGGGAACGGAGACACGGUCCAGACUCCUACGGGAGGCAGCAGUGGGGAAUCUUCCGCAAUGGGCGAAAGCCGGACGGAGCCACGCCGCGUGAGUGAUGAAGGCCUUCGGAUUGUAAAAUUCUGUUAGUAGGGAAGCGGUACCUACUCAGAAAGCCACGGCUAACUACGUGCCAGCAGCCGCGGUAAUUC